GACGAACCGUGCGAACGUUAUUCGGAAUCACUGGGCUUAAAGCGCGUGUAGGCGGAUGGGGACGUCGGUAGCUGAAAUCCCCCGGCUCAACCGGGGAAGUGGCGCCGAAACGCCCCGUCUGGAGGGACGUAGGGGGACCUGGAACUUCCGGUGGAGCGGUGAAAUGCGUUGAGAUCGGAAGGAACGCCCGUGGCGAAAGCGAGGUCCUGGACGUUUUCUGACGCUGAGACGCGAAAGCUAGGGUAGCGAACGGG
rnacentral:rRNA from 1 species